AAACACCUGACCGCCGCUCGCGGCGGGUCUUGAGGCGUCGCGGUCCCGGACCGCGUCCCUCGAAAUGCAGUCGCCGCGGCGUUCGUCUUCCCGUCCGAUUCCGGAGGCCACGAAGAGCCAGCUCUCCCGACGCCCUCCGGUCUCCGCCCGGGAGACGGCUCGCGACGAGGAAGGAGAAGCCGAACGAACGCGCGGCCUCAGAUCAGGCGAGACCACCCGCCGA
rnacentral:misc_RNA from 1 species